AAUUUUCAACCAUCGGUCCCUCCGACGCUUACUCCGAACAACCAUAUGCAACGUCGACGGGAGGAGGUGUUCCAGAAGACGAUGCCACGACUACUGAUGUCGAUCAACAGCAAACAGGCUCAUUGCGGACUUCAAAAAACCCAACUGAAGAGCACACGGCGACACUGCUAGUGACUUCGCAUGGAGGAGAAGCAUAUUCUAAUUGGUGGGGGAUCUUCCUUGGUAGCGUGGGAUCGGGAAUAAUUUUCUGGUUGUUGGUAGCCAGUGUUGGAUUCAUCUUCACGAAGGUGCUUAAAGAAAGUCGCAAGUGGGAUCAGCCGCGGUUCAAGAAUGAUGCUACAUUAGAAAAUGCGAACCCCGAGACUAGCAUUAUCUACAAUCCAACGUACAAUCCAACGGCUAUCACUCAUGUGGACAAUACGUAUCCAGUCA
rnacentral:lncRNA from 1 species